rnacentral:rRNA from 1 species
UUUAAAGUCUAGCCUGCCCAAUGAAUAUUGAAUGGCCGCGGUAUAUUGACCGUGCAAAGGUAGCAUAAUAAUUAGUUUUUUAAUUGGAAGCUGGAAUGAACGGCUGGACGAGAAAGCGACUGUCUCUGUUUUAUUAAUAGAAUUUUAUUUUUAAGUGAGAAAGCUUAAAUUGACUUAAAAGACGAGAAGACCCUAUAGAGUUUAAUAUUUUAUUUUGUAGUUAUUUAUAGGUAGUUUUAUUCUUGCUAUUUGUUAAAAUAUUUUGUUGGGGUGAUGGGAAAAUUUGUUAAACUUUUUCUUUUUUAAAACACUUAUUUGUGUAUAUUUGAUCCAUUUUUAGUGAUUAUAAGUCUAAAUUACCUUAGGGAUAACAGCGUAAUUUUUUUUAGAGUUCUUAUCGAAAUGAAAGUUUGCGACCUCGAUGUUGGAUUAAAAUUAAUAUUUGGUGUAGUAGCUGAGUUAUUGGGUCUGUUCGACCCUCGAAAUUUUACA